UACGAAGGGGGCUAGCGUUGCUCGGAAUCACUGGGCGUAAAGCGCACGUAGGCGGGUUCUUAAGUCAGGGGUGAAAGCCUGGAGCUCAACUCCAGAACUGCCUUUGAUACUGAGGAGCUUGAGUCCGGGAGAGGUGAGUGGAACUGCGAGUGUAGAGGUGAAAUUCGUAGAUAUUCGCAAGAACACCAGUGGCGAAGGCGGCUCACUGGCCCGGUACUGACGCUGAGGUGCGAAAGCGUGGGAGCAAACAGG
rnacentral:rRNA from 1 species